CGGACGGGUGAGUAACACGUGGAUAACCUACCUAUAAGACUGGGAUAACUUCGGGAAACCGGAGCUAAUACCGGAUAAUAUAUUGAACCGCAUGGUUCAAUAGUGAAAGACGGUUUUGCUGUCACUUAUAGAUGGAUCCGCGUCGCAUUAGCUAGUUGGUAAGGUAACGGCUUACCAAGGCAACGAUGCGUAGCCGACCUGAGAGGGUGAUCGGCCACACUGGAACUGAGACACGAUCCAG
rnacentral:rRNA from 1 species